GUUUCCUGAUUGGUCACUCUAAUUAUAAUUGACCAAUUGCAACUUAUAUAUAUACCAUGAUCAUGAGAUGACCAUGUUGACCUUGACUGCAUUUGAUUAAGAAUUUCAUAAUACAUAGACAGUGGCUAUGGAAAGUUCCCAGUUUCAUAUUACGAUAUUGAUAAGGGGUUACCCACUGUGAUGAUAAGAUUAAAAAGAGAACUCAAAUUUAC
rnacentral:lncRNA from 1 species